rnacentral:sRNA from 1 species
CCGUCUCGAUCUGCUGGGGACAAAUGUAAUGGAUGUGGGCGUCGAUGCCGCCCGCCGUGACGAUCUUGCCUUCGGCGGCUAUGACCUCCGUGCUCGCUCCGACCGUCAUGCCCGGCGUGACGCCGUCCAUGAUAUCCGGGUUGCCGGCCUUGCCGAUUGCGACGAUAUGUCCGUCCCGAAUGCCGAUGUCGGCUUUGACGAUGCCCCAAUGGUCAAUGAUGACGGCAUUCGUUAUCAGCGUGUCCAGCACCCCCUCGCUGCGAAGCGCCCCGCUGGACUGGCCCAUGCCGUCCCGG